rnacentral:lncRNA from 1 species
GGACUUAGGUUUGUUGCGAGAUUUUUUUUUUUAUUACUGACUCAAUUUCAUUGUUAGUAAUCUGUUCAGAUUUUGUUUCUUCCUAUUCAUUCUUGGAAGAUUAUAUGUUUCUAGGAAUGUAUCCAUUUCUUCUAAGUUGUUCAAUUUGUUGACAUAUAAUUGUGUUAGUCUCAUAGUUGUUUGUAUUUCUGUGGUGUUGGUUGUCACUUCUUCAUUUUUGACUUUGGGCUCUUUUUUUGAGCCUUGUUUCAUCAAGAAAAAUGAUGGGAUCCCUGGGUGGCGCAGCGGUUUGGCGCCUGCCUUUGGCCCAGGCCGCGAUCCUGGAGACCCGGGAUCGAAUCCCACAUCAGGCUACCGGUGCAUGGAGCCUGCUUCUCCCUCUGCCUAUGUCUCUGCCUGUCUCUCUCUCUCUCUGUGACUAUCAUAAAUAAAUAAAAAUUAUUAAAAAAAAAAAAGAAAAAUGAGUCUGACUAAAGGUUUAUUAAUUUUGUUUGUUGUUUCAAAGAAUCAGCUCUUAUUUUCACUGAUCUUUUCUAUUGCUUUUUCAGUUUUUCUUUCAUUUAUUUCUGCCCUAAUCUUUAUUAUUGCCUUCCGUCUACUAAUUUUGGGCUUUAUUCUUUGUCUAGUUUCCUUAGCUGUUCCCUUUGAUUAUUUUUCUUAUUUCUUGAGGUAGGUCCGUAUUGCUUUGAACUUCCCUCUUAAAACUGUGUGUGGGGACGCCGGGUGGCUCAGUGGUUGAGCAUCUGCCUUUGGCUCAGGUCGUGAUCUUGGGGUCCUGGGAUCGAGUCCUGCAUCAGGCUACCCAGAGGGAGCCUGCUUCUCCCUCUGCCUCUGUCUCUCAUGAAUAAGUAAAUAAAAUCUUAAAAACAAAAAACAAAACUGGGACGCCUCGGUGGCUCAGUGAUAGAACGCCUGCCUUCGGUCCGGGGUGUGAUCCUGGGGUCCAGGGAUCGAGUCCCACAUCUGGCUAGCAGCAUGGAGCCUGCUUCUCUUACUGCCUGUGUGUCUGCCUCUUUCUGUGUGUGUCUUUCAUGAAUAAAGAAAUAAAAUCUUUAAAAAAAAACUGCUUUUGCUACAUCCUACAGAUUUUGGAAUGCUGUGUUUCUACUUUUAUUUAUCUCAGGCUAUUUUGUUAUUUCCUCCUUGAUUUCUUCAGUGACCCAUUGGUUGUUUAAUAGCAUGUUAUUUAGCCUCCAUGUGUUUUGUAGCUUCCAUGUUUUGUUCUCGCAAUUGAUGUCUGGUUUCAUAUUGUUGUGGUCAGAAUAGAUAACGAUGCGAUUUAGAUAUUUUUGAAUUUAUUGCGAUUUAUUUUGUGGCCUAGUAUGGUCUAUCAUGGAAAAUGUUCCAUGUGCACUUGCAUAUGCAUUCUACUGUUUGGGAAUAAAGUGUUCUGUAUAUUAUCUGU